rnacentral:rRNA from 1 species
CCCUUAGAUGUUCUGGGCCGCACGCGCGCUACACUGAUGAAUUCAACGAGCACUAACCUGUGCAGAAAUGUUCGGGUAAUCUUGUGAAAUUUCAUCGUGAUGGGGAUUGAUUAUUGCAAUUAUUAAUCAUAAACGAGGAAUGCCUAGUAAGCGUGAGUCAUCAGCUCACGUUGAUUACGUCCCUGCCCUUUGUACACACCGCCCGUCGCUCCUACCGAUUGAAUGUGCUGGUGAAAAGUUCGGAUUGGGAAUAGGAGAUGGCAACGUAUCCUGUUUCUGAGAAAAUCUUUAAACCCUCCCAUUUAGAGGAAGGAGAAGUCGUAACA